GCGCUCACUCUGGCAGCACAUAUACUAAAAUGGGAACGAUACAGAGAAGACUAGCAUGGCCCCUGUGCAAGAAUGACAUGCAAAUUUGUGAAGGGUUCCAUUUGAAA
rnacentral:snRNA from 1 species